GGGCAACCAUUUUGUUGCAAGCGUCAUCACUGCUCUCGGUCUACUCUCAGAUUUCCAAAAGUUGGAGACAAAAAGGGGUGCCUCCGAGAAAUGCCGCAAGAAAGCUUUGAGAUCUUCGACUUUCGACUCGGAAUCCUAGCGUCCGAGGAUUGAGGAACACACCAUCAGCUUCACUGCACUCGGUCCACCGCUGGACUGGGCAUAGGGCAUGGCGGGCAUAUGCCCGGUGGCCUGAAGCCUUUUUUUUUUUUUUUUAUUCAUGCCAAACUCGCGUCUUACGUAGCAGGCCACGUUAACUUCAAUGCAGGCCACAUUAACGUCAAUUCAAGUUAAUGCAAGUUAAACUGGCAGAUCUGCCCUUUAUCAUGAUUGAUUGAAGCCUGGGCCAAUGAGGUGAGGGGCAGGCCAAUUACGCCUACCCCUCCAUCUCAGCCUCCGUUGGUGACUUGGUUGGUUAGCCACUGCUAGCAGGCAGAUCGAAAACGGGCAAUAUGGACCCUAGUGGGAAGAAAAGAAAGGGUGGCGCUGAAAGAGCCAGGGACCAGAAAAAAGCAGCCCUUCAGGCAGAUGCUACGAAAUGCCUAAAAAUAGCUGAUAUGUUUGCUGCUCGUGGACAUGGAGCCUCCACAUCUGCAGCAGCAGCAUCAACAGGUAGUGGAGGAGAAGAUGCUCGACAGCAGGUGGACGAGGCGGCCAUGACGGUUCCCAUGCUUAAGGAGUGCUGGGUGUUGCUGCUGAGAAGAGGCAGAUGGGAUAGCAUCAGCAUCUCUCCCACUUGUUGGAGUGUGUGUGUGUGUGUGUGUGUGUGUGUGUGUGUGUGUGUGUGUGUUCUGGUCCAUUUGAAAGCUCUCAUUGGUUUGCAUGCUGCAUGUAAGUUACCCAUUCCUUUUCGUUUUAAUGUUUGUUUUAUUGAUAUUCAUAUUCUUAAUAUACAGUAUAAUUGUGUAUUUAUUUACUUUAUUUUUUCUAUUUAUUUUGUACAGUUAAGUGAUUUGUUAAGUUAAGCAAUUUAUUUUAUUUUGUACAGUUAAGUAAUUAUUGACUCAUUGUAAAUAUAAGUGUUUAACUUCAAUUGUUAUGUGUGUCAUCACUUUUUAUUUUAUAUUCAAAAUUAAAUGGAUGAAAAUCC